rnacentral:rRNA from 1 species
AACGAACGCUGGCGGCAUGCCUAACACAUGCAAGUCGAACGAGACCUUCGGGUCUAGUGGCGCACGGGUGCGUAACGCGUGGGAAUCUGCCCUUGGGUUCGGAAUAACAGCGAGAAAUUGCUGCUAAUACCGGAUGAUGACGUAAGUCCAAAGAUUUAUCGCCCAAGGAUGAGCCCGCGUAGGAUUAGCUAGUUGGUGAGGUAAAGGCUCACCAAGGCGACGAUCCUUAGCUGGUCUGAGAGGAUGAUCAGCCACACUGGGACUGAGACACGGCCCAGACUCCUACGGGAGGCAGCAGUGGGGAAUAUUGGACAAUGGGCGAAAGCCUGAUCCAGCAAUGCCGCGUGAGUGAUGAAGGCCUUAGGGUUGUAAAGCUCUUUUACCCGGGAUGAUAAUGACAGUACCGGGAGAAUAAGCCCGGCUAACUCCGUGCCAGCAGCCGCGGU